GACGAACGCUGGCGGCGUGCUUAACACAUGCAAGUCGAGCGAUGAAGUUCCUUCGGGAACGGAUUAGCGGCGGACGGGUGAGUAACACGUGGGUAACCUGCCUCAUAGAGGGGAAUAGCCUUCCGAAAGGCAGAUUAAUACCGCAUAAGAUUGUAGUACCGCAUGGUACAGCAAUUAAAGGAGCAAUCCGCUAUGAGAGGGACCCGCGGCGCAUUAGCUAGUUGGUGAGGGAACGGCUCACCAAGGCGACGAUGCGUAGCCGACCUGAGAGGGUGAUCGGCCACAUUGGGACUGAGAAACGGCCCAGACUCCUACGGGAGGCAGCAGUGGGGAAUAUUGCACAAUGGGGGAAACCCUGAUGCAGCAACGCCGCGUGAGUGAUGACGGUCUUCGGAUUGUAAAACUCUGUCUUCAGGGACGAUAAUGACGGUACCUGAGGAGGAAGCUACGGCUAACUACGUGCCAGCAGCCGCAGUAAGAC
rnacentral:rRNA from 1 species